CCCUUAGAUGUCCUGGGCCGCACGCGCGCUACACUGAUGCAUGCAACGAGUUUAUAACCUUGGCCUGAAAGGUCUGGGUAAUCUUUUGAACGUGCAUCGUGAUAGGGAUAGAUUAUUGCAAUUGUUAAUCUUGAACGAGGAAUUCCUAGUAAACGCGAGUCAUCAGCUCGCAUUGAUUACGUCCCUGCCCUUUGUACACACCGCCCGUCGCACCUACCGAUUGAAUGGUUCGGUGAAGAUCUCGGACUUCGAUAUGUAUUCUUUAUUGAGUUUAUAUUGUGGGAAGUUAUCUAAACCUCAUCAUUUAGAGGAAGGUGAAGUCGUAACA
rnacentral:rRNA from 1 species